rnacentral:rRNA from 1 species
UACGGAGGGUGCAAGCGUUGCUCGGAUUUAUUGGGCGUAAAGGGUAGGUAGGUGGUCUUAUUUGUCUAGGGUGAAAUCCUCGAGCUUAACUCGAGAAGUGCCCUGGAAACGGUGAGACUAGAGUUCUGGAGAGGGUCGUGGAAUUCCCGGUGUAGCGGUGAAAUGCGUAGAGAUCGGGAGGAACACCAGAGGCGAAGGCGGCGACCUGGACAGUUACUGACACUAAACUACGAAAGCGUGGGGAGCAAACAGG